ACUGCUCAGUAACACGUAGUCAACAUGCCCAGGGGACGUGGAUAACCUCGGGAAACUGAGGAUAAACCGCGAUAGGCCAAGAUUUCUGGAAUGAAUCAUGGUUUAAAUCUAUAUGGCCCCUGGAUUGGACUGCGGCCGAUCAGGCUGUUGGUGAGGUAAUGGCCCACCAAACCUGUAACCGGUACGGGCUCUGAGAGGAGGAGCCCGGAGAUGGGCACUUAGACAAGGGCCCAGGCCCUAUGGGGCGCAGCAGGCGCGAAACCUCUGCAAUAAGCGAAAGCUUGACAGGGUUACUCUGGGUGAUUUCCGCUAAGGAAGUCUUUUGGCACCUCUAAAAAUGGUGCAGAAUAAGGGGUGGGCAAGUCUGGUGUCAGCCGCCGCGGUAAUACCAGCACCCCGAGUGGUCGGGACGAUUAUUGGGCCUAAAGCAUCCGUAGCCGGUCCUGCAAGUCCUCCGUUAAAUCCACCCGCUCAACGGUUGGGCCGCGGGGGAUACUACAGGGCUAGGAGGCGGGAGAGGCAAGCGGUACUCGAUGGGUAGGGGUAAAAUCCACUGAUCCAUUGAAGACCACCAGUGGCGAAGGCGGCUUGCCAGAACGCGCUCGACGGUGAGGGAUGAAAGCUGGGGGAGCAAACCGGAUUAGAUACCCGGGUAGUCCCAGCUGUAAACGAUGCAGACUCGGUGAUGGGCUGGCUUCGUGCCAACCCGGUGCCGCAGGGAAGCCGUUAAGUCUGCCGCCUGGGGAGUACGGUCGCAAGACUGAAACUUAAAGGAAUUGGCGGGGGAGCA
rnacentral:rRNA from 1 species